UACGUAGGGACCAAGCGUUGUUCGGAUUUACUGGGCGUAAAGGGCGCGUAGGCGGCAUGACAAGUCACUUGUGAAAUCUCCGGGCUUAACCCGGAACUGCCAAGUGAUACUGUUGUGCUAGAGUGCGGAAGGGGCUACUGGAAUUCUCGGUGUAGCGGUGAAAUGCGUAGAUAUCGAGAGGAACACCUGCGGCGAAGGCGGGUAGCUGGGCCGACACUGACGCUGAGGCGCGAAAGCCAGGGGAGCGAACGGG
rnacentral:rRNA from 1 species